UACGGAGGGGGCUAGCGUUGUUCGGAAUUACUGGGCGUAAAGCGCACGUAGGCGGAUUGGAAAGUCAGAGGUGAAAUCCCAGGGCUCAACCUUGGAACUGCCUUUGAAACUCCCAGUCUUGAGUUCGAGAGAGGUGAGUGGAAUUCCGAGUGUAGAGGUGAAAUUCGUAGAUAUUCGGAGGAACACCAGUGGCGAAGGCGGCUCACGUGGCUCGAUACUGACGCUGAGGUGCGAAAGCGUGGGGGAGCAAACAGG
rnacentral:rRNA from 1 species